rnacentral:rRNA from 1 species
AGCGAACGCUGGCGGCAGGCCUAACACAUGCAAGUCGAGCGCUCAUCUUCGGGUGGGAGCGGCGCACGGGUGAGUAACACGUGGGAACCUACCUUGAAGUAUGGAAUAACUGAGGGAAACUUCAGCUAAUACCGUAUACGCCCUACGGGGGAAAGAUUUAUCGCUUCAAGACGGGCCCGCGUUGGAUUAGCUAGUUGGUGAGGUAAUGGCUCACCAAGGCGACGAUCCAUAGCUGAUUUGAGAGAAUGAUCAGCCACACUGGGACUGAGACACGGCCCAGACUCCUACGGGAGGCAGCAGUGGGGAAUAUUGGACAAUGGGCGCAAGCCUGAUCCAGCCAUGCCGCGUGAGUGAUGAAGGCCUUCGGGUUGUAAAGCUCUUUCAGAUGGGACGAUGAUGACGGUACCAUCAGAAGAAGCCCCGGCUAACUUCGUGCCAGCAGCCGCGGUAAUACGAAGGGGGCUAGCGUUGUUCGGAAUUACUGGGCGUAAAGCGCGCGUAGGCGGCUUUGUCAGUCAGGGGUGAAAUCCCGGGGCUUAACCUCGGAACUGCCUUUGAUACUGCAAGGCUUGAGUCUGUGAGAGGAUGGUGGAAUACCCAGUGUAGAGGUGAAAUUCGU